rnacentral:misc_RNA from 1 species
GAUGAAGAACGCAGCGAAAUGCGAUACUUGGUGUGAAUUGCAGAAUCCCGUGAACCAUCGAGUCUUUGAACGCAAGUUGCGCCCGAAGCCAUUAGGCCGAGGGCACGCCUGCCUGGGUGUCACACGUCGUUGCCCCCCCAUCUACUCCUUCGGGAUUGCGGGGGGCGGAUGAUGGCCUCCCGUGCGCCUCGUCGCGCGGUUGGCAUAAAUGCCAAGUCCUCGGCGACGCACGCCACGACAAUCGGUGGUUGCGAAACCUCGGUUGCCCGUCGUGUGCGGUCGUCGCGCAUCGAGGGCUCGAAAAAAUUGCCGGGCUCCUGCUCGGCUUUCAACGCGACCCCAGGUCAGGCGGGGUUACCCGCUGAAUUUAAGCAUAUCAAUAAGCGGAGGA